UACAGAGGGGGCAAGCGUUAUUCGGAAUUAUUGGGCGUAAAGGGCGCGUAGGCGGCCUGGCAAGUGGAUGGUGAAAUCCCUCGGCUUAACCGAGGAACUGCCAUCCAGACUGCUUGGCUUGAGACCGGGAGAGGUGAGUGGAAUUCCCAGUGUAGCGGUGAAAUGCGCAGAUAUCAGGAGGAACACCAAUGGCGAAGGCAGCUCGCUGGGACGGUACUGACGCUGAGGCGCGAAAGCGUGGGGAGCGAACAGG
rnacentral:rRNA from 1 species